rnacentral:lncRNA from 1 species
AAUUAAUGAGACUUGUUUAUGUCUUCCUUUCAGGUCUGUAACAGGGACGCAGCCGCUGCAGGCAGCAGAUGUGAGCAGUGGCAGCCCAGAGGAUGGGGACAGCCGUGCUGUGCCCCCGGCAGCGCUCACUGCCCGGCCCAGGAGGAUGGAAUAAAGUGGAAAAUAUGGCGAGAAGAAAUACAGUCUUAAUAGACAAGAGUCAUAAAUUGCAAUGGUUUACAUUGGAAAACCUCAGAAGCAAAGACGCUAAGAAAGCAGGAUUACUGUAGGAAGGUAUGAUUUUUUUCUCUGGCUCAGGAAACACGUGGGUUGAAAGACAGCAGUGCAUUUUUCCAGGACCACGGUGAUUAAUCUGUGCACAUUAAGAUGAGUUGCAUGUCUGUG